GGCGCCGGAGCCGAAGAAGAGCAAGCAAGCGGCGCCUGUUUUGGAGGAGGAAAGUGAAAGCGAGGAUGAUGGCCUUGACGAAGGUGAUGAGGACGCUGAGGAGCCUGAACAUGAAUCCGAGGUUGCUCUCAUUAAUGAACCUGUCUCCAAGCAACCUCUCCCAGCCUCCGUAGUGUCCAAGGACACAGAAAGGCAACUCUCCAAGAAGGAACUGAAGAAGAAGGAACUUGCAGAUCUAGAAGCUCUUUUGGCUGAGAUGGGUAUCUCUGGUAGUCAAGAUGAAGCAAAUGGUGAGACAUCAGAUAAGAAACCUGAUGAGGAAAGUGGAGAUGGGGAGAAAAAGGAGGCUGCACCGGGACCUUCAGAGAGCAAAACUUCAAAGAAAAAGAAGGCCAGGAAGGAGAAGUCUUCCAAGGAGGUCAAAGAGCCACAGG
rnacentral:misc_RNA from 1 species